rnacentral:rRNA from 1 species
GUGGGGAAUUUUGGACAAUGGGCGCAAGCCUGAUCCAGCAAUGCCGCGUGCAGGAAGAAGGCCUUCGGGUUGUAAACUGCUUUUGUACGGAACGAAACGGUCCGGGUUAAUACCCUGGGCUAAUGACGGUACCGUAAGAAUAAGCACCGGCUAACUACGUGCCAGCAGCCGCGGUAAUACGUAGGGUGCAAGCGUUAAUCGGAAUUACUGGGCGUAAAGCGUGCGCAGGCGGUGUUGUAAGACAGGCGUGAAAUCCCCGGGCUCAACCUGGGAAUUGCGCUUGUGACUGCAAGGCUGGAGUGCGGCAGAGGGGGAUGGAAUUCCGCGUGUAGCAGUGAAAUGCGUAGAUAUGCGGAGGAACACCGAUGGCGAAGGCAAUCCCCUGGGCCUGCACUGACGCUCAUGCACGAAAGCGUGGGGAGCAAACAGGAUUAGAUACCCUAGUAGUCC